rnacentral:rRNA from 1 species
UACGUAGGUGACAAGCGUUGUCCGGAUUUACUGGGCGUAAAGAGCGCGCAGGCGGUCGAUCAAGUCGAGUGUGAAAGCCCCCGGCUCAACUGGGGAGGGUCAUUCGAUACUGAUCGACUCGAAGGCAGGAGAGGGUAGUGGAAUUCCCGGUGUAGUGGUGAAAUGCGUAGAUAUCGGGAGGAACGCCAAUUGCGAAGGCAGCUCGCUGGGACGUUACUGACGCUGAGACGCGAAAGCGUGGGGAGCAAACAGG